AUGGCUUCUUUUUCUACACUUUUCUCCACUCUAAUUCUCACAAUAGCCCUUCUCUCAUUUUCUUGCUCAUCACAACAGUUCUUCUCACCAGUUGAAAAAGACCCAAUAACCAAUCUAUUCUCCACUUUACUUUGGGUAGGAACAGAACCUACACAUGAAUUCAAUUUUGUGAUUGAUAUUGGAGGACCAAUCCUAUGGUAUGACUGCAACAAAGCCUACAACUCUUCAACCUACAAUCCCAUCUCUUGUGAAUCCAAACAUUGCACUAAUGAUGCUGGAUGCACUAGCUGCAAUGGUCCUUUCAAACCAGGUUGCUCAAACAAUACAUGUGGUGCAAACAUAAUUAAUCCAUUAGUUGAUGCAAUUUUUUCAGGUGACACUGGCAGUGAUGCUUUGUUCAUACCAAAAUCUAAAAUCAAAGUCUCUGACUUUAUCUCUGGUUGCACUGACUCUAAUGCAUUUGCUGAUUCUGCUGACUCUGAUUUCCCUCUCAAAAACUUACCAAAAACUAGUAAAGGUAUAUUAGGCCUUGCAAGAACACCACUUUCAUUACCAAAACAGCUUUCAUUAGCUCCUCAAAAAAUUCUUAACAAGUUUGUUCUUUGUUUACCAUCUUCAAACAAACUUGGUAGUAUAUUCAUAGGUGGGGUACCAUCUAAUUUUGCCAAGUUUAAACUCACUACUAUUCCUCUUAUUAUUAACCCCUUUAGCACUGCUCCAAUAUUUACUGAAGGUGAUGCUUCUUAUGAAUACUUUAUUGAUGUGAAAUCAAUUAAAGUUGGUGGUGAAGUUCUGAGCUUCAAGUCCUCCCUUUUGUCCAUUGACAAUAAGGGAAAUGGUGGAACAAAACUUAGCACAAUGAAGUCCUUCACUGUGUUUCAUAGUUCCAUAUUGAAACCACUUGUUAGAGAUUUUAAUAAGAAGGCCUCUGAUAAAAAAAUUAAGAAAGUGUCAUCAGUGGCACCAUUUGAAACAUGUUUUGAUUUGAGCACUAUUGGUAGGUCUAAUGCUGGAUUGGAUGUGCCUACUAUUGGUUUGGUGCUAGAAGGAGGUGUGGAGUGGACAAUUUUUGGUGGAAAUUCAAUGGUGUUGGUGAGUAAAAAUGUUGCAUGUCUUGGAUUUGUGGAUGGUGGUAAAGAGCCAAGAACAGCUGUUGUGAUUGGUGGACACCAAUUGGAGGACAAUCUAUUGGAGUUUGAUUUGAUUUCUUCUAAAUUAGGAUUCAGCUCUUCCUUGCUCCUUCAAAAUGGAAGUUGUUCCAGAUCAGAUGUUAGUGAAAAUCUCAUUUCAGUCGAGUGAGAUUAUUGAGUUUAAAGUAACUUUUGUUGUUUCCCUUUUAAUCAAGUAAGAUAAGUCAGUCAUUUGUAACUUUAUUCCUUUUCAAUUCUCUCUAUGAUAGUAACUUAUGUAUUGUUGACUACGAAUGAAUGAAAGUGCGUGCAUUUUUUGUUUGAAUAUUGGUUUGAAGUUGGAAGGAAAUUAAAAGGUUGGAAGAUUAAAUAUCAAUAUUCGGUGAAUAUUGGUGUGUGAAUUAAAAAAAUUGAAUGUUGAGGUCGCACGUAGAAUAGAACACACAUAUUAAUAAUGUCUAUAUUGUGAUAUUUAUUUUUAAAUAUCUGAUAAUGAUGAAAAAAUAAUAGUAAUUAUUUUUUGAUUGUGCAUGUCACUACUUAUAAUUUUUUAUAAUGUUUGAUUGUGAUAAAAUUGAAAUUUAAUUGAGUUUCUUAUUUUUUUUCUCCAUUUGUAUCCAAUUAGUCCGUUUUCUCUACUUUGUGGUUAGUUUCUUUAUUAUCUUAUCUACGAUAGUCCUUGAACUAAUCAAAUUAAUGCCGCGAUUAUAGUUUAACUCAAUUAUGGAAUCUCUAUAUAAAUAAAUGAAUCCACUCACUGACACACUAUAAAGAGUUCUAUUGAAUCAUCAAUAACUAUUUCUCUCUUCUCUCUCUUACCGUUCGAUGCAUUUGCGAGAAAAUUCUCCCCUCUUCUUUACUAUCCUUUAUAAAUUAUGAGUGUUCUUAAUAUCGUAGUCCCUUUUAAGGCAUAACGUCGCUUCAUAAUUAAAAAUGAUCUUAAGAGCAUAGUCGCUUUGAUAAUUUGUGUCACUUCAAAAUAAAAAGUAUUUUCUAAUGUCAUUGUCCCUUUUGAGGAAUAAUGUCUCUUAGAAAUUAAUAAUGAUCUUAAGAGUAUAGUCCCAAUUAGAUAUUUUCUACCCUUGGAGAUGUUAGAGGUUAGAAUGGUUGUAGCACCAUAUUUGAGUAGUCAUAAUAUCAUAGUAGAGUGGUCAUAGUUCCACAUUUAAGUGGUUUCAAUAUUAAAUUUAAGUGAUCUUAGUACCAUAUUUGAGGAGUAAUUCUAGAGAAGAACCUACAAUGUUGCAAGACUUUGAGACAGCUGUAGUUGAACUAUUUUAUACUAGAGGUGGUGUGGUUGAUAUAUGAAAAAGAGGAGCUCGUUGGUGAAUCAAUAUAAUGUAUCGAGUUGCGGCAGUGUGUGAUUGGACGAACAAGUGCAUUGGAUUGUAGUUUAAUAGAGGUCGUUGAGGGAUAGAUACAUGGUUGUAUCUGAGGCAGGACGAGGAGAGCGACCGUUCUAAACCCCAAAUAAUAAGUACUAAAUUUGGGCAAAAAUAAUAAUAAUAGGGGCACAUUAGGCCCUAAUAAAUUUAAUUACAUUAUAAAGGAAUGCGUGGUUGUCAAUAUUAGGCUUAAUUUUUUUUAUUGAUCUAUUUAUAAAUUAUGUUGAUGUUAUAAAAGAAGUUUAAAUCCCUAGCCUUCCACCAUCCCUCAACUUCCUUAAAAAAAAAAAAAAAAACUCACACCAUAUCCCUCAACCUGCAACAGCUAAAUAUCACACACUUUCUUUUCAAAAAAAAAUUCCUAUAUUGAUAAAAAAGAAUGAUAAUGAUGAGGAAUUUUUUAGAGUCAAUUAUUUUUUGGUGGUUGUUGAUAUGAUAAUAACUUCAAUGAAAAAUAGAUUGGAGUAUUUAAAUUGUUUGAAAGUAUUUUUUUAAUUUUAAUUUGAGACAAGAAUGUUGAAACCAUAGGAAAAUGAUGAACUAAAAAAAUCUUGCACAAAUUUCAAGGUUGCAUUUUCUUAUAAGGGUUUAACGGAUGUUGAUGCAAAUUAUAUUUUUCUAAAUUGAAAGUGUGUGGAUGUGAACAUUUGCAAUUCUUGGGUUUGCAAAGCCGCAAAUUGUUAUCUGAGUGUUUCAAUUGUGUAUCGAAUUCUUUUAACGAAUGUUUGCGAGUGUUGCAUCUGAAGAAAUGUUUUUCGAAGUUAAAAUUAUUCAAAAACUACUUGAGAUAUUCGUCAAUGUCACAAGAAAGGUUGAAUGGUCUAGCCAUUUUGUGUAUUGAGAAAGAUAUGAUAAAAACAUACUCAAGUAGGCAUAAUUAUUAGUGACUUUGCAUCUAAAAAUGCUCGUAAGAAUAGCUUUGUAUUAGCAUUUGAAUAUUAAAUAAAAAAAAUUGGCUUAAAUACACUUUUGGUAUCCUAUUUUAAUUUUUCUGGAGUUUCGGUACCUAUUAUAAAACUCAUCUUUUUGGUUGCCCUAUUUUAAUUUUUUUUUUUCUUUCUAACUUUUGAUCCUCCAUCCUUCUACUAAAAAACUUGACUUUUAGUGACAAUAAAUUUUUGUAAGCAAAACUUGGUUUGCCAUAGACAUAGCCCAAAAAUCUAUAGCCACGGAUGUUUGGCCGUUGCUAUAGCCUACAGCGACGGAUUUUGCAUGUUAGACAGAACUCUUUGUUUUACCUACGGAUCUUAUCCGUUGGUAUUGAGUUUAAUGAACACUUGGAAAUAUGUAGGUUAGGUACUAGGGGCUAUACUUACGAAGUUUCUAAGUGUUGAUUAAACUCUAUACCUACGAAUAAAACAAAAGUUUUGUCUGACAUGCAUAAUUUAGUAAUGUAGAUUAUAGUGAUGGUCGAAAAUCCCUGGGUAUAUGUACUUGUGCUAUGCCUACGGUAAACCAACUUUUGCAUACAUAAAUUUACUGUCACUAAUAAUCAAGUUUUUUAGUAGUAGGGAUGGGGGAUCGAAAGUAAAAAAUAAAUUAAAUAGGGCCAAAAUGCUGAAUUUUAAAAAAGGGGUACCAAAAUGUUUUUUUUUUAUUUAUAAAAUAUAAUAUUUUUAUUAGAUUAUUCUCUUAGCGUAAUAAAAACUAGUUACUGAUUCUGCAUUCAGUGUUGAGAUUAAAUGCUAUUGAGAUUGCCUACCAGAAAAAUUGGCUCAACCUAUGGUUGGAAAAUGAUUCCAAGCUAAAUAUGAUGACUUUCAAAAAUGCUGCUUUGAUUCCUUGGGCCUUAAGAAACAGGUGGAUGAACUUUCAAGAAAUGAUCAAUGGCAUGAACUUCAUGGUUACUCACAUCUUCAGAAAUGGUAAUACUUGUGCUGAUGAUUUAGCGAACUUAGGUCUUAAUGUUCCAAGUUUUGUUUGAUGGCAGGAUGCACCUAGCAAUAUUAGAAGAGAUGUAUGUAAUUACAAACAUGUUGGGUAUGUCCAAUUUUAGAUUUGUUACCUUCUGAAAAGGUUAUGGGUAUAUCCCACUUUUCUCUUUUGUAUAUCUUCCUUUGUUUUUAAUGAUAUUGGAUAGCGUGCUUUGCACUACUCUUAAAAAAAGAAAAAGAGUAGAAGUUAGUUUUAUUAUUUUUUGUAAAAAAAAUUAAUACAUCGCUCCUUAAAUAUAAUAAAGUUCUUCAUUCAAUUUUCUAUUUAGUUUUUUUUAGGGAACAUUUUUCUGUUUAGUUAUUUAUGUAUCGAUAUACCUUUAAUUAUUUUCCAUUCUUUUUGGCAUAGCCUUUAAUUAUAUAUAUAAUGUCACGGUAUUGCGUCUUCUUUGACGUGAUUAAUAUAUGCAUAAAAGAACACCACAAAUAAAAAAUAUAUGCAUCAAAAAAGGCAUUCCUUCGAUAAAGACAGACGGCUAAGAAAAAUGAUGCACAUGUUAAAGACAUAACAAAAUAUAAUUUAAAGUGUAAUAAAAAAAAUUAAAGCAAGCAUGCCCUAUAAAUAACAUAUCAUUAGGCUGUUUUCCAGCAAAAAGAAAAUAGUACAAGACCAGUGUCUAUUAUUGUGUUUUUUUUUUUUUUAAAUAAAUUAAAUAAUCCAUAUUGAAAACUUUAAUUCCAAACUAGCCUACAUAAAAUAAAAUUGUCAAAAUACUAUACUUUUCGGUUUGCAUAUUGGACCUUGCAAGUUAAGUACCUCGCAAGUCAAAUUAAUUCAUAUGCUUUCUGCUAUUCAACUGAGUGUCCUUUCACAUGUUUUAGAUUUAACUUGGUAUAAUGAUGCUUCAUUUAAGGUAUCUUUAUUUGUUUGGCUGUUCUUACGUAAUUGGCUUUUAAUCAAGGAUAAUUUGUUUAGACGAGAUAUCAUCAAUCAUGAUCGAAGUUUUGUGUAAGUGGUUGUAGUGUCUUUGAAUCGAUAAAUCAUCUGUUUUUUGAUUGUAAUGUUUUUAUUGCUAUUUGGCACCUUAAUCAUUGUUGGAUUGGGAUUUUUUCUGUCAACCCUUUUGGUAUUUUAGACCAUUUUGUUAUGUUUGGUCAUUUAACAUACGUUUCUAAAGUUCAGCGAUCUAUCUCACACGUCAUCAUUUGGUUCUUUUGUGUUCGUGUAAUUUGGAAAGAGAGGAACAACAAAAUUUUCAAUUCAGCAGCUCUUGGGCAAAAUUAAGUUACUUUCUUAUUAGUAGCAAAAUAUGCUAAUAUUGUUUUUGGGUAUCAUAGCUAGUGGCUUGCCCCUUUCUCUUGUUUCGACAUUGUUUAAUUGCUCUCUAUUAUUUUUCUCUCAUAUCAAUAUUUACUUGUUUCUUUUAUAAUCUCUGAUGUUCUUCUUAAUACAUCUUGUGCUGCAUAGAAUGUUUUUUUGUUGGUAAUAUAUUCCAUUUGAUUCUUUAAAAAAACUUUUUUUUUAGUUAAAAACUGAAAGCCGGAAAGUGAGCUCUAUGUGAGAUUGAAAGGGUAUGUACUCUUAUGGAUAUAGAGACCCUGGGAGUAAAAUGUUGCAGAAGCAGCAGAACUGACUUCGUGGAAACAGUAUAUAAAAAAAUGGGGCAACCGACUUUAUGGGAAAACGAAAAUUAAAAACUAACAUUUUAUAUUUCUCUAUGUGAGAUUAAAGGUGGCAUUUCACAUGGGAAAUGUUAAUCCUUUCCCACCAUGGGAAAGUUGGAUUCAAUGAUUAGAUUAAGUGAAGAACAUAUUCUUAACAUGCUCUUUCAACACUAGAUUUUUCUUCACAGUUUCUUUCAACAAUUUUAAAAUUCUAAAAAUUAAUUUUUAGAAAUUAAAAAAAUAUAAAAAAUUCAGAUAAUUUUUUUUUUUAAAAAUUCUGUAAUUCAUUUAUUGAAUGUUAGAAUUUUUUUUUUGAAAAAAUGAAAAAAAAAUUGCUCAGAAUUUUAUUUUCUUAGAAAAAUAAAAAAAAUUAAUUUCAAAAUAUUUUUUUUAGGAUUUCUAUUUUAUUUUUCAGAAUAUCUUAUUUUAUUAUGAAAUUAAAAAAUAUAUUCUUUUUAGAAAAAUAAAAACUUAUCUUAAUUUCCAAAAUUUUAUUUUUAUUGAAAUAAUUAUUAUUUUUUUGCAAAAAAAAAAUUAUAACAUUCAAUAAAUGAAUUACAGAAUUAAAAAAAAAAUUAUAUGAAUUUUUUAUAUUUUUUUAAUUUCUGAAAAUUAAUUUUCAAAUUUUUAAAUUGUUAGAAGAUAGUGUGAAGAAAAAUCUAGUGUUGAGAGAACAUGUUAAGAAUAUGUUCUUCACUUAAUAUAAUCAUUGAAUCAACUUUCCCAUGGUGAGAAAGGAUUAACCUUUCCCAUGUGAACACACACCGAGAUUAAAAGCCUCAUUUUAUAUUGCCCUUGAUUUGGCCCAAUCUAGUCGGACAUAUGAAGAUGCUAUAUAUGGGAGAAAAGUGGGGGAACUGCCUUUAUGGUAAAAAGAAAAUAAAAAAUUAACCUCUUAGCCAAAUCUUCUUCAAUGAAUUUAUACCCUCUUAUGUGUUAAUUUUUUUGUCAGAUAGUCUAGUGGCCGGAGCUCACACAUUUUAAAUGUGGAGAAGUGGAGUGUCCGAAGUUCGAACCCCGACCCCUGCAUAUAAAAUACAUUUGUCCCUACCAACUGAACUAAGCUCAUGGGAACUCUUAUGUGUUAAUUUUAAUAAAUAAAUGUAUAAAUCAAUCACUAAAACAUAUAUGAGAUUUAGUAACAUAAUAAAAUAAUGUUACUAUUUAAAUUUAGUAAUAUUUAAUAAAUAUUAGGUAAAAUCUACGUUACUAAAUGAUUCAAGGGGUAGAAGAUUUGAGCUUUUUAAACCAGUGAUUAGCAUAUAGGGAGAAGAAAAAAUAAAAAACUGGUAGCAUCAAUAUAUUAGAGUUCUUGCACCCAGUUGAUAAAGCAUCCAAGUUUUAUAAUAUUGACUGUAAUGAUAGUCAUUGUAUAUAAUUGUUUUCUUGACAGCAUUGUAUAUGCCAAAGAUGAGCACAUUCCGUGAAGAUAUAAACAAUUACAAACCAUAACUAUUUUAUUGAAGUAAUUAUACUGUAAGCAACAAUUUUUAAUUCCAGAUCAUACCAACUACAAAGAAGAUUAAAGAGGAAUAUUAUAUAUACCAGUACAAAUGUACACUACUAGAACAAAUCACAUUUAGUAAUACUUGAAAAUUGUAACUAAAUCAAGAAAAAUAUUACUAAUUAAAUUUAGUAACACAUGAACAAUUGUUAGAUAAAGUCCGUGUUACUAAAGAGUUUUAAUUACAUUUUAUAGUACUAUCCGUAAUAAUAAAAAAAUGUCGCAAAUGUUGCAUUAUUGUAACACUUUUUGUAUCACUUAAUAACAAUAAAAAAUGUUACAUUUAUAAUUUUUGAGAAGUUGUUCACAUCUACAAUGUUGUAAGUCUCUAAGACAGAUAUAGUUGGACUAUUUUAUCUUAGAGGUGGUGUGAUUGAUAUAGGAAAAAGAGGAGUUCGUUGGUGAAUCAACUUAAUGUAUUGACUUGCGGCGGUGUAUUUAAAGUGUUUGAACGUAUUUUUGAAUUUUAAUUUGAUACAAAAAUGUUGAAAUCAUAGGAUUGUGAUGAACUAAAAAAAUCUUCCACAAAUUUUAAGGUUGCAUUUUCUCAUAAGGGUUUAACGGAUGUUGAUACAAAUGAUAUUUUUCUAAAUUGAAAGUGCUGCAAAUGUCUUCGUCAAAUGUGUAGAUGUGAACAUUUGAAAUUCUUGAGUUUGUCAAAGCUGCAAAUUGUUAUAUGAAUGUUUCAAUUGCAUAUCGAAUUCUUUUAACAAUAUAUGUGAGUGUUGCAUCUGCAGAAAGGUGUUUUUCGAAGUUAAAAUUAUUGUAAAAAUACUUUAGAUAUUCGUAUAUGUCACAAGAAAGGUUGAAUGGUCUAGCCAUUUUGUGUAUUGAGAAAGAUAAGAUAAAACAUAUUGAUGUAGGCACAAUUAUUAAUGACUUUGCAUCUAAAAAUGCUCGUAAAAAUGGUUUUGUAUUAGCAUUUAAAUAUUAAAUAAUUUUUUUAGCUUAAAUGCACUUUUGGUACUCUAUUUUAAUUUUUCUGAAGUUUUGGUACCCCUAUUUAAAAUAUAACUUUUUGGUCGCUCUAUUUUAAUUUUUAUUUCUAACUUUUGAUCUCUCUCCGUACUAAAAAUUUGGCUUUUGGUGACAGUAAAUUUCUGUGGGUAAAACUUAGUUUACUGUAGGCAUAGCCAAAGUACCUAUACCCACAAAUUUUUGGCCAUCGAUUACAGAUAUGGAUUUUGCAUAUAAGACAAAGCUUUUUGUUUUACCUAUGGAUUUUAUCCAUAGGCAUAGAGUUUAAUCAACACUUAGAAAUAUGUAGGUAGGUACUAGGGGCUAUACCUAUGAUGAAAGAAAUUUUACUUGUGGAAAUUUAUUGUUACUUUCUAUAUACUUGGUGCUAUAGCUACGGCAAGAGGACCUACGAAAAUUUAUUGUCAUUAAAUGUCAAGUUUUUUUGUAGUGGAAAUGGGAGAUCAAAAGUAAAAAAAAUAAAAUAAAAUAGGUGUAACAAAACUUCGGAAAAAAUGAAAAUAGGGGUACCAAUAUGUUUUCUUUAUAUGAAAUAUGAUGUUUUCAUUAGAUUAUAUUUUAACGUGAUAAAAAUUAUUAUCUUCUCAACCAAAUUAUUUUCACACUUUAAGAAUUUAAAUUUUUUAUAUGUUUAUUAAUUAGAGUCCAAAUUAUAAGUUCGGUCAUAGAUCACCAAAAUUUUUGAAACGGUCCUGAAUAGAUAUAUGAAGGUGAAAAGUGUAUAACUAACUACCUUUUUGUCAUAUUCUUUAAUGAAAACAUUAACUAAAAGAUAAUUUCUAAAAAUCCAUAUGUAUAAUUAAAAUGAUCAAAUAAAACUUAUACUACUAUAGGUGUUCUCUCUUAAUUAUCACCUAGCUUUUACUAGAAAUUAAAAUCUCAAACUUUUAAUUAUACAUGUAUUAUUAUUUCAUUUCACUUUGAGAUGUUACUCUAAUUCGUGUAAAAAAAAAAUGUAACCCUACUUAUUAUAUUCGUCUGUCUUAAACGUGCACAUAUAAGUUCGAACAUGCACUUUUUAUCAUUGGAUUUGUCUAACAUGUGCAACAUUGCACAUGUUAAAACAACUAAUAGUAGUAACUUUUUUUUGAAAAACAACAAUUAUUUAUUCAAAAGUUUAAUAUUUAAUACUAAGUGUACACGUUCCAAUACAAAAUUUCUAUCUUAAACUUUUUAACACGUGCAAAUUUGCACAUGAUAGAAAAACUCUUUAUCAUUUAAUAUGUGUGAGUUUUGUCAUUCAUUAAAACAAAAAAUAUAAAAUAAAAAAAUUGAUUGUCCCGUAUAACUUUUUAUUUUAAUUUAUCAAAUAAAUAACAAGUCCUUUUUUCUCUCCCUAAAAUAAAGUACUUAUUGUGUCUCAAUCCAACUAACUAUUUAUAGUAAGAAAAUUUUAUUUAUUGAAACUUAUUUUAUCACAAAAAUUAGUACUAUUUUUUCUCUAUUGCCCAAAGAAUAGUAUUAAUGAGUUUGGUGUUCGUCAAGUGGAUUGUAGGAACCUAUUAAACUUUAAAUGUCAAAAUUCUAAUGUUGAUGAGCUCGUUAAAGAAUGUAGUUGUUCACACUUUAGUUAAGAUGACUACAUAUAUGGUUAGUCUUCUUUUAUGAGUUUUUUUCUUAAUAGGCUAAAUUUUAUUGAAACAUUUAGUCCAUAUAUAGCACAAGGGGUGAUAGUGAACUAAGGAAAUUACAAGAUUACUACAAAGUUCAUAAGGGAAACAGAAACAUACAAACUUAAACAACUAAAGACCCCUAAUACAUAGAUAAAAACGUAUAGUAGCACCCCACUCCAAAAUCACAACACCAAACAGCACUCACAACCUGCAACCCAAAAACAAUCUCCACAGACAAACAAUGAAAUCGACCCAGGCACCAAUUUUAUCAACACUCAAAACACCAGCCAAAAGAGGCACAUUACAACACCAAAAAAACCACACCUAAACCUGUUAAUAUCAACCGUAACACUCCAACAAGAACAAACUCCCACACCCACACACAAAACAGUAAAUGAACACCAAACUGCACCAAUAACAACAUUGUCAAUAAACCAGAAAACAACACAACAACCCCUUCACCCGCUACUCGCAAAACAAGUGGCAAAGACAAAACAACUCUAUACUUGCACAACUAGAACAGUAAAGACAAAACAACUCCAUGUAUCACAGCAAGACCACUCCAAACACUCAUGUCCCCGACCAAAACUAGACACCUUCAGAAGAAGGGAAAAAUAAAACACAUCAAGCACAAGGGGGAAAAAAAACGCACCAAAAUACAACAAAAAAAAUACAACUCAAAUUCUAGCAACAAAAUGCCUACAGACUGAAACAACACACAAGCCCAUAAUGGGCGAUUCAAAAGUCGCUUUUGAUUUCUUUGAAGAGUCGAAAUUACUUUAUUAUUUUUUGUAAAAAAAAUUAAUACAUCCCUCCUUAAAUAUAAUUAGGGUCUUGCUAACUUGUAAUCAAAAAGCACAAAAUAAGAAAGUUAGUGUAGAAAUUUAAUCUUAGAAAUUGUGCAUUUAUGAUUUUUAUAGGUUAAAAACUUAUCUUUUCAAUGCAACAUUUAUUUUUUAAUUCUAUUUUUAGAUCAUUAUAUUGUGCUAAUACAAUUUAGCAUUUUCCGUAGAGUUUUUCUAUUCACAUCUUAUAUAUUUCUGGUUACACUCAGUUUUUUUAAAAAAGUUUUUGAUAAUACCAAAAUUGUCAUUUUAUAUAAAUUUUCUUAAAAUCUUGAUUUCAUUGUCACUCUAAAAUUCCACUCUCUUUCACCCACCAACGAUCAAACAAUCUUGAUGUUCAAUUAAUCUCUAUGGAAGAUUAAAGAGUGAAUCAAACCAUCUUUCAUUCAUACUCGAUUGCAUAUAAAUAAGUGAAUUUUUUCUUCUUUUUCAAUAACGUUGGUUUCAAUUUUCUUCUUCUUGUUCAACUGCAUUGUACGACAGUUUCAGUUUUACAUUGUUGAGGUUAACUUAAAUUCAGUUUAAGUAGGUUCAUGUAAACUUAGUUUACAUAAUCUACUUAAACUUAGUUUACAUAACCUACUUAAACUGAGUUUAAGUAUGUACACUUAAACUCAGUUUACAUGACCUACUUAAACUAAGUUUACAUGUACAUACUUAAACUGAUAUUACGUAUAAUCAUUGAACAAGGUUGAACUUUUAGAUGUACACUUAAACUCAGUUUACAUGACCUACUUAAACUGAGUUUACAUGACCUACUUAAACUCCGUUUACAUGAGCUACUUAAACUAAGUUUACAUGAUCUACUUAAACUCCGUUUACAUGAGCUACUUAAACUAAGUUUACAUGAUCUACUUAAACUGAGUUUAAGUAUGUACACUUAAACUUAGUUUACAUGACCUACUUAAAAUAAGUUUACAUGUACAUACUUAAACUGAGAUUACGUAGAAUCAUUGAACAAGGUUGAACUUUUAAAUGUACACUUAAACUCGGUUUACAUGACCUACUUAAACUUAGUUUAAGUAUGUACACUUAAACUCAGUUUACAUGACCUAGUGAAACUAAGUUUACAUGACCUACUUAAACUGAAGAGAGAUUUUAGGGUGUAACCAAGAAAAAAGGAAGAUGCUUUUUGUAAAUUAAAUUUUAUGGAAGGGUAAUUUUAUCAUUUUGAGGUGCAACCAGAAUUAAACAGGGUGUAAUUAGAAAAACUCUUUCCCGUAUGAUUAAGGUUGUCUUAAAAAAAAUUUUAAUCAUUUUUCUAUUUAGUUUUUUUUUUUAUCAAUCAAGUAAUCUAAUGACUAGAAAUUCACCAUUUUAAAAUGAAUAAACAAGGUGUUCAGAGUUCAAAUUUCAAUCUCCAUAUGUAUAUUUUAUAUAAUGUCCCUACCAAUCUAGCGAAACUCGCAAACUUUAUUUUUAAGCUCUAAACUCACAAACUUCUAUUUCGUUAUUUAUGUAUCGAUUACCUUUAAUUAUUUUCCAUUCUUUUUGGUACAGCCUUCGUCAUGCAUUAAAAAAUGUGUGCCGUCAGCAGUAUAAUGUCACGGUAUUGCGUCUUUUUUGACGUCAUUAAUAUUUAAUAAUAUAUGCAUCAAAAAAGGUAUUCCUUCGGUAGAGAUUGACAGCUACUAUGAUUUUUUUUUUGAAGGAGACAGCUACUAUGAAUAUGAUGCAAAUGUUAAAGACAUAACAAAAUAUAAUUUAAUGUGUAAUUAAAAAAAUUAAAGCAAGCAUGUCCAAUAAAUAACAUAUUAUUAGGCUGUUUUCCAACAAUUGGUCUUGUUUUCCAACAAGACCAAUAAAUUAAAGCAAACAUGUUAUUUAUAAUAACAUAUCAUUAUAAAUAACAAGACCAAUGUCGAUUACUGUGUUUUUUUUUUAAAUAAUCCAUAUUGAAAACUUUAAUUCCAAACUAGCCUACGUAAAAGAAAAUUGCCAAAAUACUAUACUUUUCGGUUUGCAUAUUGGACCUUGCAAGUUAGGGUAUCUCGCAAGUCAAAUUAAUUAAUACAUAUGCUUUCUACUAUUCAACUGAGUGUACGUCUUUUUGCAUGUUUUAGAUUUAAUCUGGUCUAAGGAGGCUCUAUAUAAGAUAUUUUUAUUUGUUUUGGUGUUUCUUAUCAAGGAUAACUUGUUUAGACGAGGUAUCAUCAAUCAUGAUCACAAUUUUGUGUAAGUGGUUGUAGCGUCUUUGAAUGGACAAAUCAUCUGUUUUUUUUAAUGUAAUGUUUUUAGUGCUAUUUGACACCUUGUUCGUCGUUGGAUUGGGAUUUUUUCGGUCAACCCUUUUGGUAUUUUAGAAUAUUUUGUUCUAUUUGGUCAUUUAGCAUACGUUUCUAAAGUUCAGCGAUCUAUCUCGCACGUCAUUUGGUUCUUUUAUGCUUGUGUAAUUUAGAAAGAGAGGAACAACAAUAUUUUCAAUUCAGCAGCUCUUGGACAACAUUAAAUUACUCUCUUAUUGGUGGCAAAUUAUGCUAAUAUUGUUCUUGGAUAUCAUAGCCGAUGGCUUGUCCCUUUCCCUUGUUUGAGCAUUGUUUAAUUGCUCUCUGUUAUUUUACUCUCUUAUCAUUUUUUACUUGUUCCUUUUAUAAACCCAUAUGUUCUUCUCUAAUACUUCUUGUGCAGUUGUGCUUCAUAGAAUGUUUUCUUGUUGAUAAUAUAUUCCAUUCUGAUUCGUUAAAAAAACAAUUUUUUAGUUAAAAAUUGAAAGCCGGAAAGUGAGCUCUAUGUGAGAUUGAAAGGGUAUCUAUCUACUCUUAUGGAUAUAGAGGCUCUGGGAGUAAAAUGAUGCAGAACUGACUUUGUGGAAACAAUAAAUAAAAAAAUGGAGCAACUCACUUUAUGGAAAAACGAAAAUAAAAAACUACUCCCUCUGUCCCUUAAUAAGUGACACAGUUGACCCAAUUACGCAUACCAAUGCGUAAUUUUGGGUUUAAAUAUCUUGAAUAAUAUAUUGGAAAAAAAUUAUGAAAAUUUGAUAUUUUGAAAAUACUCAUCGAGACGAAUCUAACGACAUCUUAUAUGAUAUUAUUUAUCUUUGUAUAUUAGUAGAAAAAUAUGGUCAAAGUAAGUUAGGUCAAAAUUGCACAUUUUCAAACAGGUCAUUUAUUGCGGGACGGAGGGAGGGAGUAACGUUUUAUAUUGCUCUUGAUUUGGCCCAAUCUAAUCUUACAUAUGAAGAUGCUAUAUAUGGGAGAAAAAUGGGGAGAACUGCCUUUAUGGUAAAAAGAAAAUAAAAAACUAACCUCUUAGCCAAAUCUUCUUCAAUGAAUUGGUGCCCUUCUUAUGUGUUAAUUUUAAUAACAAAAUGCAUAAGUAAAACACUACAAUAUAUAUGAGAUUUAGUAACAUUUAAAUGUUAGUAAAUACAAGAAAAAUGUUACUAUUUAAAUUUAGUAAUAUUUGAUAAAUGUUACGUAAAGCCCGUAUUACUAAAUGAUUCAAUUGGUAAAAGAUUUGACCUUUUUAAGCAAGUGUUAAGCCUAUGGAGAGAAUAAAAAAACAAAAAACAAGUAGCAUCAAUAUAUUAGAGUUUAUGCACCCAGUUGAUAAAGCAUCCAAGUUUUAUAAUAUUGACUCUAAUGAUGGUCAUUGUAUAUAAUUUUUUUGUUCACAGCAUUGUAUAUACCAAAGAUGAGCACAUUCCGUGAAGAUAUAAACAAUUACAAGCCAAAAUUAUUUUAUUAAAGUAAUAAUACUGUAAGCAACAAUUGUUCAUUCCAGAUCAUACCAACUACAAAGCAGAUUAAACAGGAGUAUUAUAUAUACCAGUACAAAUGUAGUCAAUUAAAAAAGAUUAAAUGAGUAUAAGAUUAUACAUUUUCUUCACAUAUUCAUUUCUAUAAAAAGGAACCCUUCACAUACAUUAAUCACUCAUCCAUUAGCAAUAGCAUUGAACUCACAAUGGCUUCUUUUGCUACACUUUUCUCCUCUCUAAUUCUCACAGUAGCCCUUCUCUCAUUUUCUUGCUCAUCACAACAGUUCUUCUCACCAGUUGAAAAAGACCCAAUAACCAAUCUAUACUCCACUUUACUUUGGGUAGGAUCAUUACCUACACAUGAAUUCAAUUUUGUGAUUGAUAUUGGAGGACCAAUCCUAUGGUAUGACUGCAACAAAACCUACAAUUCUUCAGCCUACAAUCCCAUCUCUUGUGAAUCCAAACAUUGCACUAAUGAUGCUGGAUGCACUAGCUGCAAUGGCCCUUUCAAACCAGGUUGCACAAACAACACAUGUGGUGCUAACAUAAUUAACCCAUUAGUUGAUGCUAUUUUUUCAGGUGACACUGGCAGUGAUUCUUUGUUCAUACCAAAAUCUAAAAUCCAUAUCCCUGACUUUAUUUCUGGUUGCACUGACUCGGCUGCAUUUACCGAUGAUUUCCCUCUUAAAAACUUACCAAAAACUAGUAAAGGUAUAUUAGGCCUUGCAAGAACACCACUGUCAUUACCAAAACAGCUUUCAUUAGCUCCUUUUAAACUUCUUAACAAGUUUGCUCUUUGUUUACCAUCUUCAAACAAUCUUGGUAGUCUUUUUAUUGGUGGGGUAGGAUCUUCUCUUUCCAAGUUUCAACUCACUAAAGUUCCUCUUGUUAUUAAUCCCUUUAGCACUGCUCCAAUAUUUACCGAAGGUGAUGCUUCUUAUGAAUACUUUAUUGAUGUGAAAUCAAUUAAAGUUGGUGGUGAAGUUCUGAACUUCAAGUCUUCCCUUUUGUCCAUUGACAAUAAGGGAAAUGGCGGAACAAAACUUAGCACAAUGAAUCCCUUCACUGUUUUGCAUAGUUCCAUACUGAAACCACUUGUUAGAGAUUUUACUAAGAAGGCUUCUGAUAAAAAAAUAAAGAAAGUGUCAUCAGUGGCACCAUUUGAUACAUGUUUUGAUUUGAGCACUAUUGGUAAGACUAAUACUGGAUUGGAUGUGCCUACUAUUAGUUUGGUGCUAGAAGGUGGUGUGGAGUGGAUAAUUUUCGGUGGAAAUUCAAUGGUUUUGGUGAAUAAAAAUGUUGCAUGUCUUGGAUUUGUGGAUGGUGGUAAAGAGCCAAGAACAGCUGUUGUUAUUGGUGGACACCAGUUGGAGGACAUUGUAUUGGAGUUUGAUUUGGUUUCUUCUAAAUUAGGAUUCAGCUCUUCCCUCCUCCUUCAAAAUGCAAGUUGUUCCAACUCCAACUCAGUGAAUAAGAUGGUAAAAUCUGGUGAAAGUUUCAUUUCAGUUGAGUGAGAUUAUUACGAGUUUAAGUAGCUUUUGUUGUUUCCCUUUUAAUUGAGUAAGAUGGUCAUUUGUAACUUUUGUCCUUUUUAUCUCUAUGAUUGUAACUUAUGUAUUGUUGACUACGUAUCAAUGAAGUUCAUGCCACAUGUUAGCAUUUCACUUCAUUUAAAAGCGACUUCAAAUACAUACAUGAUAUAAUGAAGUCAUGAAUUUGUGUACGGUACUAGCUCACAGAGAAUUCCCUCUAAUGCAACAGCUGCCAUUAUUACUUUGAUUUGUAUACAAAUGUUAUUUGGAAAAAAGUUUUAUACCAAAAAAAGAAAGGGAAAAAGAAAGGUUACAUGUGCCAAUGUUGCAUCCUGGUUGAGACUCUUCACAAUUCACCAAGGAUGUCUAUAAAACUCUUACCUGCGGAUUUCCGAUUAUGAAAUCCGUCACGGACACGACACGGGACGGAUAUUCUAGCUAAUGUCGGCUGAUCAAAUACAAUGAUAUUCCAAUUAUAAGUUAGUUAUAUGAAGGUGUGGAAGUUGUGAUAAUCGUACCUGCAAAUAUUUGUAUUUGAUAGUAAAUUAGUAAUAAUAACAUUUUUAUAAAUAAAUGCAUCUUAUUAGUCUAGCGGAUAUCCAUGUAGAUAUGAAACAAGAUUUUUUUAUUUUAGAAUAAUGCUAGACUUCCCGAUAAAAUGUACAGCGACAAAUUGACGAUGGAAUUGGCUUGUUGCAACAAAAAAAUAGCACCACAACCUCCUCUAUUCCACAAAUAGCGGACUUUACACCAAUGCAAUUAAACACAUAUGCAUCUGGGAAUUUUCAAGAGGCAAUUUGUCGCACUAUAUAGCAGUGCUGUUAUUUUUAUACAACAAGGCAUAUAGCAUAUGAUAAAUAUUCGUACCCUUGGAUUCCUAUUGUCAUUCCUACAUAGACCUAUUGUCGGUUUGAUAGGAAAUAGAGGAGUUCGUUGGUGAAUCAAUGUAAUGUAUUGACUUUCGGCGGUGUGUAGUGUGAUUGGAAGAACAAGUACAUUGGGUUGCAGUUUAAAUAGAGGUUGUCAAGGAAUAGAUACAUGCCGUAUCUGAAGGCAGGGUGAGGAGGCCGACCAUCUUAAGCCCCCAAAAAAUUACUAAAUUAUAGAAUAAGGUGUGAUUGUUAGUAAUAGACUUAAUUCUCUGUUGAUCAAUUUAUAAUUUAUUGUGACAUAUAUUACACUUUCUUUUCAAAGAUAUUCCUAAUUUGCAAUAAGAGAAUGAUUAUGAUGAGGAAAUACAAUCACCCGUGGAAAGUUUUCUAAAGUUUUAGUACCCUUAUUUUAAAAUUCAACUUUUUGGUCGCCCCAUUUUUUUCUAAAAUUUCUCAUAAGUCACUUUAAAUUUAUUUUAAUUUCUCAAAGCAAAGUUGCUAUAACUGCUUGUAUCAUCGACUUGCUCAUUAUCAUCCGGUACACUAAAAAUCAGUCAAGAUUUCAUGACAAGAAAUUUUUCUAGAAAUCAUCUAUCAAUCUGAUCAUCUCCAAUGUCCCUUUAUGGAAAUCACACAAAGAAGGCUUCGGCAAUUAAUAUGACAGAGUUUGUAAUCCUUAAUGCGCGUAAAAUCAACAUUAAUUCAUCCUCCAAACACUCCGUUGGUGUUAGAAGAUCUAUGGCAUCCCCCAAUUUUCAAUUGGCUGAAAGUAAAUAUUGAUACUCCCUCCGUUUCAAAAUAUAAGCAAAAUUCAGUUUUUAGAUUCAGUCAUUUAAUGAUGUAUGUGGUCCAUAUUAUGAACCACAUACAUCAUUAAAUGAAUGAACCUAAAAAUUGAAUUUUGCUUAUAUUUUGAAACGGAGGAAGUAGUGUUGUUGUCAAAAAUCCUCCUAAAGCUGCUUGUGGUGGGAUUUUCAAGAAUUCGUAUGGUUUCACCAUUGGAUAUGUUUUGCAAAAAAUCUUGUUCCUGAAUCUGCAUUCAAUGCUGAGAUUACUGCUGCUUUAACUGCUAUUGAGAUUGCCUACCAGAAAAUUUGGCUCAACCUAUGGUUGGAAACUGAUUCCAAGCUGACUAUGAUGGCUUUCAAAAAUGCUUGCUUUGAUUCCUUGGACCUUAAGAAACAGGUGGGUGAACUUUCAAGAAAUGAUCAAAGGCAUGAACUUCUUAGUUUAGCCAACUUAGGUCUUAAUGUUUCAAGUUUUGUUUGGUGGCAGGGAUGCACCUAACAAUGUUAGAAGAGAUGCAAUUACAAACAAAUAUGUUGCAUAUGCCGAAUUUUAAGUUUCUUACCUCAUGAAAAAGUUAGGGUUAUAUUCCACUUUUCUCUUUUGUAUGUCUUCCUUUGUUUUUAAUGAUAUUGGUUGGUGUGCUUUGCACUACUCUUACUUUAAAAAAAAAAAAAAAAAACGGGAGUAGAAAUUACUUUUAUUAUUUUUCGUAAAAAAAAUCCUUAAAUAUAAUUAAGGACGUCUUAAAAAAAAAACUUCAUUCAUUUGUCUAUUUAGUUAUUUAUGUAUCGAUAUACCUUUAAUUGUUUUCCAUUCUUUUGGUAUAGCCUUCGUCAUGCAUCAAAAAAUGUAUGCCGCCAGCAGUAUAAUGUCACGGUAUUGCGUCUUCUUUUGACGUCAUUAAUAUAUGCCUCAAAAAACACCACAAAUAAAAAAUAUAUGUAUAUAAAAAAAAGGCAUUCCUUCGAUAAAGACAGACAGCUAUGAAAAUGAUGUACAUGUUAAAGACAUAACAAAAUAUAAUUUAAAGUGGAAUAAAUAAAAUUAAAGCAAGAAUGCCCAAUAAAUAACAUAUCAUUAGGCUGUUUUCCAACAAAAAAGAAAAUAGUACAAGACCAAUGUCUAUUAUUGUAUUUUUUUAUAAAUAAUCCAUAUUAAAAACUUUAAUUCCAAACUAGCCUACAUAAAAUAAAAUUACCAAAAUACUAUACUUUUCGGUUUGCAUAUUGGACCUUGCAAGUUAGGGUACCUCGCAAGUCAAAUAAUGCAUAUGCUUUCUACUAUUCAACUGAGUGUCCUUUCGCAUGUUUUAGAUUCAAUUUGGUAUAAGGAGGCUCCAUUUAAGGUAUCUUUAUUUGUUUGGUGUUUUUUACAUAAUCGGUUUAUUAUCAAGGAUACCUUAUUUAGAUGAGGUAUCAUCAAUCACGAUCGCAGUUUUGUGUAAGUGGUUGUAGUGCCUUUGAAUUGACAAAUCAUCUGUUUUUAUGGUUUUUAGUGCUAUUUGGCACCUUGUUCGUCGUUGGAUUGGGAUUUUUUCGAUCAACCCUUUUGGUAUUUUAGGCCAUUUUGUUUUGUUAUGUCAUUUAGCACACGUUUCUAAAGUUCCGCGAUCUAUCUCGCACGUCAUUUGGUUCUUUUGUUUUUGUGUAAUUUAGAAAGAGAGGAACAACAAUAUUUUCAAUUCAACAGCUGUUGGACAAAAUUAAGUUACACUCUUAUUGGUGGCAAAAUAUGUUAAUAUUGUUUUUGGAUAUCAUAGCCGAUGGCUUGUCCCUUUCCCUUGUUUGAGCAUUGUUUAAUUGCUCUCUUUUAUUCUUCUCUUAUCAUUUUUUAUUUGUUCCUUUAAUAAACUCUGAUCUUCUCUAGUACAUCUUGUGCUACAUAAAAUGUUUUCUUGUUGGAAAUAUAUAUAUUCCAUUCUUAUUCAUUAAAAAAAACAUUUUUUUAGUUAAAAAUUGAAAGCCGGAAAGUGAGCUCUACAUGAGUUUGAAAGGGUAUCUACUCUUGUGGAUAUGGAUAUAGAGGCUAUGGGAGUAAAAUGUUGCAGAACUGACUUUGUGGAAACAAUAAAUAAAAAAAUGGAACAACUGACUUUAUGGGAAAACGAAAAUAAAAAACUAACAUUUUAUAUUACUCUUGAUUUGGCCCAAUCUAGUCUUACAUAUGAAGAUGCUAUAUAUGGGAGAAAAAUGGGGGAACUGCCUUUUAUGGUAAAAAGAAAUAAAAAACUAACCUCUUAGCCAAAUCUUCUUCAAUGAAUUUGUGCCUUUCUUAUGUGUUAAUUUUAAUAAAAAAAAAAUGCAUUAGUAAAAGGGUGCCCCUAAUAUGGACCCAUAAAGGUCCAUUGGUGGACCUAUGCAUAUGACCCACAACAACCGGUUAUCCUCCAUAUUUAUAAUUUAAAUGUAAAUUUUAAUAAAGUGAGAUAUGUCUCCUUUACAAAAUGUCUCUCCCUUCCUCAAAGUAUCUGUAUUUUACAUCUCCAUUAUUGGACCUUCAUGCUUCGCCUCUCUCUCUCUCUCUCUCUCUCUCUCUCUCUCUCUNNNNNNNNNNNNNNNNNNNNNNNNNNNNNNNNNNNNNNNNNNNNNNNNNNNNNNNNNNNNNNNNNNNNNNNNNNNNNNNNNNNNNNNNNNNNNNNNNNNNNNNNNNNNNNNNNNNNNNNNNNNNNNNNNNNNNNNNNNNNNNNNNNNNNNNNNNNNNNNNNNNNNNNNNNNNNNNNNNNNNNNNNNNNNNNNNNNNNNNNNNNNNNNNNNNNNNNNNNNNNNNNNNNNNNNNNNNNNNNNNNNNNNNNNNNNNNNNNNNNNNNNNNNNNNNNNNNNNNNNNNNNNNNNNNNNNNNNNNNNNNNNNNNNNNCUCUCUCUCUCUCUCUCUCUCUCUCUCUCUCUCUCUCUCUCUCUCUCUCUCUCUCUCGUUAGAACAUCACCCGACAUCACCUCACUGUUCCUCAAGUAUUGACCUUCAUAUCAUGACAACCAUAUGCAACAAAAUCACUUGAGAAGAACUUACAAACCACCAAACUCAAUGAUCUUUAGUUGCUUAAUUUUUUAUAUUUUCUAAGCUAAUCGUAAUUUUUUUCUUUUCUUUCAUAUAACGAACGCUAAAGUUAAAUUAACAAAAUGUUGUUUAGGUUUUUGUUUUUAUCACGUAGCCAAGGGUCAAGGGAUUACAUCCAAAAGAAAUAUAGGACCGGCAUAUAUGGUAGCCAAAACAAAAACGAAAUUGCUAUGACAUAUAUGAAAGGUUAAUUUUCCUAAAGCAAUUUUGAGCAACUCCAAAAUAAGAAAAUGGUUCAAAAUUCUGAAAGUUAUAGACAAUUUAUGUACAACAUGCAAUAAUGAUUGCUCAACCUUCAUUGUAGAUCCAAAUCAUAAGAUUGAAUUUGAAAGUGAAAAAUGGGUUCAGAUCCACUAUCUAGAUUUUUGUAGAAAACCUUCGACUAUUAUGUUCUGCUGAUGGAAGCAAAACACAAGAUUGAAUUUGAAAAAUAAAAACAAAUGUAAAUCCAAGAUUUGUAGAAUCAAUGUUGUCAAGACACUUUUUUAGCUCAUUCCCCUUCUAUACCGCCGACUCCAUAAGUGAGUUUCAUUGGAGAUCUAGCAUGUUGAGAUGAUUAGAAGGAUAGAGUCGUUUUUGUUGUCAACAUAUUGUGAUAUUAUGGGUAUUUAUUAAUUAUAGAAUAAACCCCCAAAAAUUAUUAAUUGAAGUGACCGGAUGUGGUAGAUCACUUGUCCAGGUCCACCAGUGCACACUUUUCUUUGGGGUCCAUAUUAGGGACUCCCAUAAUAAAACACUACAACAUAUAUGAGAUUUAGUAACACUUGAAAAAUGUUAGUAAAUACAAAAACUGUUACUAUUUAGAUUCAAUAAUACUUAAAAAAUGUUAGUAAAUAAAAAAAAAAUGUUACUAUUUAAAUUUAGUAAUAUAUAAAUGUUUGGUAAAGUCUAUGUUACUAAAUGAUUCAAGUGGUAGAAGGUUUGAGCUUUUUAAGCGAAGUGAUUAGCAUAUAUAGAGAAUAAAAGACAAAAAACAAGUAGCAACAAUAUAUUAGAGUUCAUGCACCCAGUUGAUAAAGCAUCCAAGUUUUAUAAUAUUGACCGUAAUGAUGGUCAUUGUAUAUAAUUUUUUUGUUGACAGCAUUGUAUAUACCAAAGAUGAGCUCAUUCCGUGAAGAUAUAAACAAUUAGAAACCAAAACUAUUUUAUUAAAGUAAUAAUACUGUAAGCAACAAUUGUUUAUUCCAGAUCAUACCAACUACAAAGCAUAUUAAAGACGAAUAUUAUAUAUAUACCACAAUAUAUAGUCAAUUAAAAAAGAUUAAAUAAUGUAUCAGAUUAUACAUUUUCUACACAUAUUCAUUUCUUUAAAAAGGAACCCUUCACAGACAUUAAACACUCAUCCAUUACCAAUAGCAUUGAACUCACCAUGGCUUCUUUUUCUACACUUUUCUCCACUCUAAUUCUCACAAUAGCCCUUCUCUCAUUUUCUUGCUCAUCACAACAGUUCUUCUCACCAGUUGAAAAAGACCCAAUAACCAAUCUAUUCUCCACAUUACUUUGGGUAGGAACAGAACCUACACAUGAAUUCAAUUUUGUGAUUGAUAUUGGAGGACCAAUCCUAUGGUAUGACUGCAACAAAGCCUACAACUCUUCAACCUACAAUCCCAUCUCUUGUGAAUCCAAACAUUGCACUAAUGAUGCUGGAUGCACUAGCUGCAAUGGUCCUUUCAAACCAGGUUGCUCAAACAAUACAUGUGGUGCAAACAUAAUUAAUCCAUUAGUUGAUGCAAUUUUUUCAGGUGACAC
rnacentral:lncRNA from 1 species